AACUUUUAUAGGAUAGAAGUAAUCCGUUGGUCUUAGGAACCAAAAAANUGGUGCAACUCCA
rnacentral:tRNA from 1 species